UACGGGGGGGGCAAGCGUUGUUCGGAAUUACUGGGCGUAAAGCGUGCGUAGACGGUUAUGUAAGUCAGGUGUGAAAGCCCCGGGCUCAACCUGGGAAUGGCAUUUGAGACUGCAUAGCUAGGGUGCGGAAGAGGGAAGCGGAAUUUCCGGUGUAGCGGUGAAAUGCGUAGAUAUGCGGAGGAACACCGAUGGCGAAGGCAAUCCCCUGGGCCUGCACUGACGCUCAUGCACGAAAGCGUGGGGAGCAAACAGG
rnacentral:rRNA from 1 species